rnacentral:lncRNA from 10 species
GGCAACUUCAUCACCACCUGGGAAUGUCGCAGCCCUCUGCAUUUCACAGCUCUCCAGAAAUCAAUGGUUAGCAGGCCCAUGAAUAAUCUUUGGGGCAUAAUGAAGACUCUGAUGGAAAAGAGGUUGUCAAGAAAGUUCUAGAGGAGGACUUUGGCCACAGCGAUCUUGGGGAACAAAUGUGCUUCGGGUGUGAGGAGAGACUUGCUUAAUCAGAAGACUUUCCAGCUUCACUGCUCUGCAAGAAUGUGGACAGGACGGAGGCCCACCUUCCAGAAGAAAACAAGGCGGAGCCAGUACCGCUCCUCAUUUGCGGAUGAACACCUGCAGAGCACAAAGCCUCUGCACUCGUGGGGGCUGCAGACUGGGAGCUGCUCCUCGGCCCUAGACAGAAUGUUUCUUCAAUCCCUUUCCUGGUACCCACAGCCCGGCUGGAUAUAGUAGGCGAAUCCUCCCCAUCUAAAAUGGCUCUGAAAUCAGGCUGGGGAGAGAGAGUGCAAAGAAGGUCAGUACACUGAGCAAGUGCUCAGCUGGGACUGGGCGCCACCCUCCCAGACCUCACCUGCUUCACCUGCCACACGCAGCCACACGCAGCCACACAGCCCCUGAUGGAGCCCUGUGCUAGGGAGGCUGGGAGGGGUGAAGUGGCCGCGGCUGAGGUGUGAGAAAGGAUUGAGGAGGGUCCCCGUGGGCCUUAAGCCAGGCGUGCCAUCAUACCUGGCCAGCUAGAAGCUGAGAAGACCUUGGCCAGAGGUCUGCUGCUGUCACAGGACCUCAAACUGAGAAGCGUGGAGUCCAUCCUCCUAGGAACAGUAUAGCGCAUCCCCAGGCGAGGCUGCAGUGGGCCUUCUGUGCCCUAACUAAAUUGCCAGCCCUGGCUGUUAGAGCCUGGGGCGCUGGAUGUGUGGGGAG